GUAUGGGCUGUGCGGGGAGGGCCAGAACAGGAGGGGAGAAAUCUGCGGAGCAGGGGCAGGGGAAGGGCUGGGCCAGGAGCGGAGAGCCCGGUUGGGGCGGUCUCGGCUGUGCGGGGUGAGCUGGGGCGGGGGGCGGCGUCUGCUGCGCGGGGAGAGCCUGGGCAGUGGGCAGCCUCAGCCGGGCGGGGAGAUCUGGGGCGGGGAGGACCGAGGCGGGGAGAGCCUGGGCGGGGGUCGUUCUCGGCCUCGCCGGAAAGCCGGGGCUUGUGGGGCGGGGCGAUCUCGGCUGUGGCGAGACAGCCUGGGAGGGGGGCGCCCUUGGCCGCUCGGGGAGAUCUGGUGCGGGGGUCGUUCUCGGCCGCGCCGGGAAAGCCGGGGCAUGGGGCGGGGGGCGAUCUCGGCUGUGGCUGGACAGUCUGGUCCGGAGGCGGCCUCUGCCGUGCGGGAGAGCCGUGGCGCGGGGAGAGCCGGGGCGGGGUUCGGUCUCCGCUGCGCAGAUCGUGGCGGCUGGGGCCUGCGGGCGGGCUGCUGUGGACAGCGCUGAGCCGCCUGCCGAGACUGUUGAGAGGCGCGCGACUCCCGGAGGCUUGGCCUGAGGUGGCUGCUGGGGGCUCGGUGCCUGCCUGGAGGCCGCAGGGAGAAGGCGGGCCUGGGGCUGGGGCUGGCGGCCCUCCAGCUCCGACAAGGGACCUGUGCCCGCGCACUACCAGCUAGUCUUCACCUGCGAUGUCUGUGGGACUGGGUACUCCAAGCAUAUCUCCAAGCUUGCCUAUCACCAGGGUGUGGUCAUUGUGACCUGUCCUGGCUGCCAGACCCACCACACCACCCCGGACAACCUGGGUUGGUUCUCGGACCUGGAUGGGAAGAGGAAUAUUGAAGAAAUCCUGGCAGUCAGAAGGGAGAAGGAUGUUCCUGUGUUUAUGAGAGCGUGUUUAUUUCCAGAAGCCUUCUGGGCAGUGUGAGCUUCAGCAUUAAUCACCCAGCCACCAUCUCACAGGAUCCCAGCAGGAUGCGCGCUCCCAGUUGCCGACCCCCUCGCCCCCGGUCCUCAGCAUGGUUCUCGAGGCACUGGCAGUCUGUGCUCUGACUCGGUUACCCCCGUCCUUCCCCUUGGCGAACAAGCCUGGAUUAUUCCAGCCCAGAGCCCCCUGUUCCAUUUGUGAAGUCCAACCUGGAGGCUGAGCCAGCAGCCCCACCACUGCCUGUUCUCCUGUGCCACAGAAGCCCCAGGUGACCCACUGGCCUUGAAAUGCCUGAUCUGCAGGGCUGGGUAGAGGCAUGGCUGCUUUGCUGACCCCAGACAGUUAGGACCUGAAUUCGGGGAGGUCCUGGGGGCUGGCUGGACUCUGAGAGUGCAGGGCUGGACCUUGGAGGGCCACUGGGACCAAUCCCGCCCUCCACGGAUGCGGAAACAGAGGCCUGUGGUUUGGACAUGUAUGCUAGCCGUUUUUUAUUGUCUGUUUUCUGACACUUUGACAUCUGGGUCCCACUGACCCUGGAGGGGCUGCCCCUCCCAGGGCUAGUCAGUUCCUAGAGACAGUAGAAGAUGCCAGUGAGCACACCCAGGGCGGGGACAGACAAGUAGGGGCAGCCCCUCCACCCAGAGAUGCUGAUUCCUCCCACCUGCUAGUCCUGCCUCCCUGUUGCUCGCCAUGGAAACCACAGGAGAGGCUCUUGCCCACUUUUUCCCCUCCCCUGCCUCCUGACCCGCGAGGGCCCUGCUGAUGCUCCUCCAAGGGCAGUGCCCCAUCUGCACGGAUGCUUCUCAGCCCAGCCAGGGCCCAGUGGUCCAAGUGAGCCCACUUUGUGCGAGGCCAGGCUGCCACUGACUUCAAGACUUCAGAAAGACAUCUCAGAUGCGAAGGGACCCAUCACAGGAAUGUCCAUAUGUUUUUCCUUCUAAGCCAUGACUCAGGAGUAAAAGCAAAAUAACAUUGUGUUCAGAUCCAAGAGACUAAGAGAGUUUGCCGCUGUCAGGCUGUCACUGAGAGUGAGGACGGUUGGAUUGAAGGAAGAAAUGAACGAAUCCCAGAAGGAACGAGUGGAGAGUGAGACACGAGGUGGGGAAAUGGGAUACACAGGAUUGUAGCAAAGCCCCCCAGGCGAAAGCAGACUCAGUGCUCUGGGGAUAGAAGUCGAUGCGGACCCACCUUGGCUGUGCUGAGCAGGAGAAAUUCCCCGGUGAGUGACUCUCACCGAGACCUACUGCCCUGCUUCAAUUGUCUCCUAGGGAUUCAGGGACAACCCCACUGUCCUGUGAGCAGACCUCUUUCUACCCAAAUCUACAUCACACACACACAAGGCAACAUGAAUUAAAAUAUCUCUACUACAUUGCACUGAU